GGCAGACGGGUGAGUAACGCGUAAGAACUUACCCUAAAGUGGGGGACAACCUCGAGAAAUCGGGGCUAAUACCGCAUACGCUCCGCAAGGAGGAAAGCUUCGGCGCUUUAGGAUGGGCUUGCGCCCUAUCAGGUAGUUGGUGAGGUAAUGGCCCACCAAGCCUUAGACGGGUAGCUGGUCUGAGAGGAUAAUCAGCCACACUGGAAUUGAGAUACGGUCCAGACUCCUACGGGAGGCAGCAGCAGGGAAUAUUGCGCAAUGGAUGAAAGUCUGACGCAGCAACGCCGCGUGGGGGAUGACGGCUUUCGAGUUGUAAACCCCUUUUCUUGGGGAAGAUAAUGACGGUACCCAAGGAAUAAGUCUCGGCUAACUACGUGCCAGCAGCCGCGGUAAGACGUAGGAGGCGAGCGUUAUCCGGAUUUACUGGGCGUAAAGGGCGUGUAGGCGGUUCUUUAAGUCUUUGGUGAAAUCUCCCGGCUUAACUGGGAGGCUGCCAGAGAAACUAGAGAACUUGAGGGCAGAAUAGGGGAGCGGAAUUCCCGGUGUAGUGAUGAUAUGCGUAGAUAUCGGGAGGAAUACCGAUGGCGAAGGCUGCCUCCUGGCCCAAUACUGACGCUCAUGCACGAAAGCGUGGGGAGCAAACAGGAUUAGAUACCCUGAUAGUCCACGCCCUACACGAUGUCUACUAGUUGUUGGCUGGAGUAAAGAUCCAUUAGUGACGCAGCCUCACGCGUGAAGUACACCAGCCUGUCGUAGUACGCGUCGCAAGAU
rnacentral:rRNA from 1 species